GACGAAGGGUGCAAGCGUUGCUCGGAAUUAUUGGGCGUAAAGCGCACGUAGGCGGCUAUCUAAGUCGGAUGUGAAAUCCCUCGGCUUAACCAAGGAAGUGCACCCGAAACUGGAUAGCUUGAGUACAGAAGAGGAUCGCGGAAUUCCCGGUGUAGAGGUGAAAUUCGUAGAUAUCGGGAGGAACACCAGUGGCGAAGGCGGCGAUCUGGGCUGAUACUGACGCUGAGGUGCGAAAGCGUGGGGAGCAAACAGG
rnacentral:rRNA from 1 species